rnacentral:rRNA from 1 species
UACGUAGGGUGCGAGCGUUGUCCGGAAUUAUUGGGCGUAAAGAGCUCGUAGGCGGUGUGUCGCGUCGGCCGUGAAAACCUGCAGCUUAACUGUGGGCUUGCGGUCGAUACGGGCAUCACUGGAGUUCGGCAGGGGAGACUGGAAUUCCUGGUGUAGCGGUGAAAUGCGCAGAUAUCAAGGCGGAACACCGGUGGCGAAGGCGGGACCUUCUGGGCCGAGUGACUGACGCUGAGGACGAACGAAGCGUGGGGGAGCAAACAGGG